CAGCUCGACAUGAUGUUCAAAA
rnacentral:misc_RNA from 1 species